CAGUGGGGAAUAUUGCACAAUGGGCGCAAGCCUGAUGCAGCCAUGCCGCGUGUAAUGAAGAAGGCCUUCGGGUUGUAAAGUACUUUCAGCAGUGAGGAAGUGGGUAUGUUAAUAGCAUACUCAUUUGACGUUAGCUGCAGAAGAAGCACCGGCUAACUCCGUGCCAGCAGCCGCGGUAAUACGGAGGGUGCGAGCGUUAAUCGGAAUUACUGGGCGUAAAGCGCAUGCAGGUGGUUUGUUAAGUCAGAUGUGAAAGCCCGGGGCUCAAACCUCGGAAUUGCAUUUGAAACUGGCAAACUAGAGUACUGUAGAGGGGGUAGAAUUUCAGGUGUAGCGGUGAAAUGCGUAGAGAUCUGAAGGAAUACCGGUGGCGAAGGCGGCCCCCUGGACAGAUACUGACACUCAGAUGCGAAAAGCGUGGGGAGCAAACAGGAUUAGAUACCCUGGUAG
rnacentral:rRNA from 1 species